UACGGAGGGUGCAAGCGUUAUCCGGAUUUACUGGGUUUAAAGGGUGCGUAGGCGGGCAGGUAAGUCAGUGGUGAAAUCUUCGAGCUUAACUCGGAAACUGCCUUUGAUACUAUCUGUCUUGAGUAUUGUGGAGGUAAGCGGAAUAUGUCAUGUAGCGGUGAAAUGCUUAGAUAUGACAUAGAACACCUAUUGCGAAGGCAGCUUACUACGCAUAUAUUGACGCUGAGGCACGAAAGCGUGGGGAUCAAACAGG
rnacentral:rRNA from 1 species